rnacentral:ncRNA from 1 species
UAAAGGUUUGGUCCUGGCCUUAUUAUCAACUGUUUCCCAACUUACACAUGCAAGUCUCAGCACACCCGUGAGAACGCCCUUUCAGCCUUCACCAGGUAAAGGAGCUGGUAUCAGGCACAGGUCCUUGCCCACAACACCUAGUCUCACCACACCCCCAAGGGUACUCAGCAGUGAUUAACUUUGCGCAUAAGCGACAGCUUGACUCAGUCAGGGAAAAUAGGGCCGGCUAACACGGUGCCAGCCGCCGCGGCUACACCGUGGGCUCAAGUUGAUACUCACCGGCGUUAAGCGUGAUUAAAGUUCCCAAAAAAUUAGGAUUAAAUUAACACUUAGUAGUUUUAUGCUUGUUGUUAAGAAACACACAAACGAAAGUUAUCCUAUAUUACCUUGAAUACACGACAGCUAAGAAAACAAACUGGGAUUAGAUACCCCACUAUGCCUAGCCGUAAACAAUUAACUCACAUCCACACCGCCAGGGAAUUACGAGCAAUGCUUAAAACCCAAAGGAUUUGACGGUGUCCCACCCCACUAGAGGAGCCUGUUCUAUAAUCGAUGAUCCCCGCUUCACCUAACCAUCCCUCGCCUACCAGUCUGUAUACCUCCGUCGAAAGCUUACCAUGUGAACGCCCGCAGUAAGCUUAAUGAUUUCACCAUCAACACGUCAGGUCAAGGUGCAGCUUAAGGGACGGAAAGUAAUGGGCUACAAUUUCUAAUCUAGAACAAACGAAAGACUAUGUGAAACCCUAGUCAUGAAGGUGGAUUUAGUAGUAAAAAGAAAAUAGAGUGUUCUUUUUAACCCGGCUCUGGGACGCGUACACACCGCCCGUCACCCUCUUCAAUAGUACCCCGUAUGUUCCUAACCCAACACCACGUUUUAGAAGAGGCAAGUCGUAACAUGGUAAGUGUACUGGAAAGUGCACUUGGUAUACUAC